rnacentral:rRNA from 1 species
AAUGAACGUUGGCGGCGUGGAUUAGGCAUGCGAGUCGUACGAGAACCCGCAAGGGGGAAAGUGGCGAACGGGGUAGUAAUGCGUAGGUGACGUGCCCUAUGGUCGGGGAUAGCUUAGGGAAACUUAAGGUAAUACUCGAUAAUCCCGGGAGGUUUGAAGACCAUCCGGGCAAAGGUGUGAUUCCAUCAUAGGAGCGGCUUGCGUGGUAUUAGCUAGUUGGUGAGGUAACGGCUCACCAAGGCUUCGAUGCCUAGGGGAUGUUAGCGCAUGAUCCCCACCACUGGGACUGAGAUACUGCCCAGACACCUACGGGUGGCUGCAGUCGAGAAUCUUCGGCAAUGGGCGGAAAGACCUGACCGAGCGACGCCGCGUGUGGGAGUGAAGGCCCGUUCGGGUUGGUUAAACCAACCUGUCAGAGGGGAGUGAAAUAGCACGAGAGCUAUCUCUUGUGUUUGUACAUAGCCUCAGAGGAAGCACGGGCGUAAGUUCGUGCCAGCAGCCGCGGUAAAGU